rnacentral:rRNA from 1 species
UACGAAGGGGGCGAGCGUUGUUCGGAAUUACUGGGCGUAAAGGGCGCGUAGGCGGUGUGUCAAGUCAGGCGUGAAAGCCCCGGGCUCAACCUGGGAACCGCGCUUGAGACUGGCACGCUCGAGUCCGGGAGAGGAUGGUGGAAUUCCCAGUGUAGAGGUGAAAUUCGUAGAUAUUGGGAAGAACACCGAUGGGCGAAGGCAGCCAUCUGGACCGGCACUGACGCUGAGGCGCGAAAGCGGUGGGGAGCAAACAGG